CUUUAAUGAAAUAGGGAUUUCUCCAAAGAUCGAGAUUUUGGUAGGGAAGCGAGCAGUAUUGGGGAUGUUCCUAUGAAAUCAAAAACUUCUAUAUUAUGCAGGGUCUAGAAGUUGUAACAAGGGUAACAAGGAUGAGUGUGUCACCUUGCGCGCCAAACAAAAACAAACACAAACUGCUCAAGAGAAAAGCUGACUACCAUGUGGAUUGGAAUCGGGAAUGUGAACGUGACCAUGAUCAUGAUCGUGACCAGAGGGACCACCGUGAUCGAGAAAGAGGCCAUCACCACCAUCGCCACCACCGGUCAGGAUCCUCUUCCCGGAUGUCAUCUGAACCACCAAAACCUCCUCAACUGCACCAUCAUCUGCAGCUGCAGACCGCAAACAGAUGGCCAGUGUUUUCUCCCGCAUAAGCUUCCCCGCUGAGGAAGAAAUGACCAAGGAGGAUCCGAGCUCCCAAGUUCAUGACACGCUUGCAAUACGAAGAGAUAUUACAGUUAGAACUUAGAAGCGAACCUCGCUCCCUGAUGUACUCUUUUUCCCGACUUCAUGGUUUUUUCCCAAAAAGGGUUUUCCUGAAGGGGGUUUUAACGAGGCAUCACAGCGAGGGCUAAGGGGCAGAAAUUUCAAUCCCUUAGUAGCAAGAGCACCCUUGUAAAGUCACAUUACAUUAGUAAUAAUAUUUCUCUUUAUAUCUCU